rnacentral:rRNA from 1 species
AACGUAGGAGGCAAGCGUUAUCCGGAUUUACUGGGCGUAAAGCGCGUGCAGGCGGUUCGGCAAGUCGGAUGUGAAAGCUCCUGGCUCAACUAGGAGAGGUCGUUCGAUACUACCGGACUAGAGGGCAACAGAGGAAAGUGGAAUUCCCGGUGUAGUGGUGAAAUGCGUAGAUAUCGGGAGGAACACCAGUGGCGAAAGCGACUUUCUGGGUUGCAUCUGACGCUCAGACGCGAAAGCUAGGGUAG